CCAUGAUGUCACAGGCCGCCGGGACGCCAGCAGUAGCACCCAGGGCAUUUUGAUCAUUUUGAUUCUGCUGCAUUACUAUCAGCUGUCACAUGCUGUUAGUCCACAAAUCAUUCACGUGUGGGAAAAUUCUCCUCCUGACCACUAGGUGGAGACAAAACACACCAGAGCUUUAAAUCCCUCCUAUUUCCCAUGAUCCUCUGUCAUUUUCUUUCGCCUCCUUGAUGAGGAGUGAGAACCUCCUGUCACGAGGAUACAAACAUCCAUGCCACCACCACCACCACCACCAGUCUUCAGGCAACCACAAGAACAGUAUGCUCCCAGGCAUGAGCAUGGUUGGAUGGCUUCAGUUGAGGACCUGGGAGUGAUGCCACCACCAUUGCCAUAUGAGCCCUGGCAAGAUUUCUGGCCAGAGGAAUACCCUCACUUUGGCUUUGAGGGUGAGCCAAGACAGCCACAAUGGGUCCAUGUAUUUACCCCCCCCCCCACAACACAAUCUCAUGGCAGUGAGCCACCAUCCUCAUAAAUUGGAUGAGCUCCGCCAUCCUCAUCAAUUGGAUGAGCUCCACCAUCUUCAGCUAUUGGACGAGCUCCACCAUCGGCAGAUGGAAAUAUAACAGAUUCUACAGCUGUACCUCAAGCACCAUCAGAUGCAGGUGACCCUGCCCGACAUGAACCAGCAGUUGAAGCUGGCCCUGCCCCACAUGAACCAGCAGUUGAAGCUGGCCCUGCCCCACAAGCACCUAGAAGCCCUGCAGCUCAAGAGCCUGUGGAUGCAUCUCCCCUGGGUGAGGAAUACAUUGCACUCCAGAGGAGGCUCAUAACAAGCACUGAGAGCAUACAAAGAGGUCAAUAGAGGUUCUUAGGAACCAUGAAAGGUUCAUCAGGAUCCAAGAGAGGAGACAACAACGUAGCAUAGAGCUACAGAGGGACAUGGCAGCAUCGUUAAGUGCAAGUGUUCAUAACCAGUCACAGAUGAUGCGAAUUCUGUCUGAUAUGCAGAUGCAAAUGGACAAUAGAUGGAGAGAACAAAAUCAACUCUUGGGUGUGUUGGUUGAGCACUUUACACACCAGCAGGACACUGCCUCCAGCCUAUCAUCUGUGGCCAGCACACCAGCAAAAACAGCAGAAUCUUCUCAAACCAGUCACCUCAGCUCUCUCAUCCAAGAAGCCAAAAAAUAAAUAAAUAUUAUUAUAGUUCACCAUAAA